GUCGGCGACCGGCGCACUGGUGAGUAACACGUAUGCAACCUGCCCUCCGCAGGGGAAUAAACCGGGGAAAUCUGGUCUAAUGCCCCAUAGUCCCCGGGUCCGCAUGGGCCCGGGGGGAAAGAUCCGUCGGCGGGGGAUGGGCAUGCGGCGCAUUAGCUUGUUGGCGGGGCAGCGGCCCACCAAGGCGACGAUGCGUAGGGGUUCUGAGAGGAAGGUCCCCCACACUGGUACUGAGACACGGACCAGACUCC
rnacentral:rRNA from 1 species